UCGGGUGUGGUGUACGGUCCACCGCUGCAGCUUAUAGAGGGUCGUCUCGUUACUAAGCAGUGAACCGGGGUUCGACUCCCCGCGCCCGAA